rnacentral:rRNA from 1 species
UACAGAGGUCUCGAGCGUUGUUCGGAUUCAUUGGGCGUAAAGAGCGUGUAGGCGGCCAGGUAGGUCUGCUGUGAAAACUCGAGGCUCAACCUCGAGACGUCGGCGGAAACCAUCUGGCUAGAGUCCGGAAGAGGAGAGUGGAAUUCCUGGUGUAGCGGUGAAAUGCGCAGAUAUCAGGAAGAACACCCGUGGCGAAGGCGGCUCUCUGGGACGGUACUGACGCUGAGACGCGAAAGCGUGGGGAGCGAACAGG